rnacentral:rRNA from 1 species
CCUACGGGAGGCAGCAGUGGGGGAUAUUGCUCAAUGGGGGGAACCCUGAUGCAGCGACGCCGCGUGGGGGAAGAAGGUCCUAGGCGUGUAAAGCCCUGUUAGCAGGGAAGAAAAUGACGGUACCUGAAGAAGAAGCCCCGGCUAACUACGUGCCAGCAGCCGCGGUAAUACGCAGGGGGCAAGCGUUAUGCGGAUUAACUGGGGGUAAAGGGGGCGGAGACGGGAAAGCAAGUCAGGAGUGAAAGCCUGGGGCCCAACCCCGGGACUGCACUUGAAACUGCUUGGCUGGAGUGCAGGAGGGGUAGGCGGAAUUCGUGGUGUAGCGGUGAAAUGCGUAGAUAUCAGGAGGAACACCGAUGGCGAAGGCGGCCUGCUGGACUGCAACUGACGUUGAGGCCCGAAAGCGUGGGGAGCAAACAGGAUUAGAUACCCCAGUAGUC